AGUGAACGCUGGCGGCGUGCUUAAGACAUGCAAGUCGAACGGCAGUCUUCGGACUGUAGUGGCGCACGGGUGAGUAACGCGUAACUGACCUACCCCAAAGUCGCGGAUAACGAUUCGAAAGAAUCGCUAAUACGUGAUGUGCUGUCAGAUUGUGUUCUGCCAGUAAAGAUUGAUUGCUUUGGGAUGGGGUUGCGUUCCACCAGCUAGUUGGUGGGGUAAAGGCCCACCAAGGCGACGACGGAUAGCCGGCCUGAGAGGGUGGCCGGCCACAGGGGCCCUGAGACACGGGUCCCACUCCUACGGGAGGCAGCAGUUAGGAAUCUUCCACAAUGGGCGAAAGCCUGAUGGAGCGACGCCGCGUGAGGGAUGAAAGUCUUCGGAUCGUAAACCUCUGAAUCAGGGACGAAAGACACUUCGGUGGGAUGACGGUACCUGAGUAAUAGCACCGGCUAACUCCGUGCCAGCCGCCGCCGUAAGAC
rnacentral:rRNA from 1 species